UUGGAGGGCAAGUCUGGUGCCAGCAGCCGCGGUAAUUCCAGCUCCAAUAGCGUAUAUUAAAGUUGUUGCAGUUAAAAAGCUCGUAGUUGAAUUUCGGGAUUGACACAUCGGUCGUGCCUUAAGGGGUAUGAACUGGUGUAGUCAAUUUCUCACCUUCUGGAGAACCACGAUGCCCUUAAUUGGGUGUCGCGGGGAACCAGGACCUUUACUUUGAAAAAAUUAGAGUGUUUAAAGCAGGCAUUUUGCUUGAAUACAUUAGCAUGGAAUAAUAAAAUAGGACGGCAUGAUUCUAUUUUGUUGGUUUCUAGGAUCACCGUAAUGAUUAAUAGGGAUAGUUGGGGGCAUUAGUAUUCAAUUGUCAGAGGUGAAAUUCUUGGAUUUAUUGAAGACUAACUACUGCGAAAGCAUUUGCCAAGGAUGUUUUCAUUAAUCAAGAACGAAAGUUAGGGGAUCGAAGACGAUCAGAUACCGUCGUAGUCUUAACCAUAAACUAUGCCGACUAGGAAUCAGACGAUGUUAAUUUUUUAAUGACUCGUUCGGCGCCUUACGGGAAAC
rnacentral:rRNA from 1 species